UUGUAAGUUCAAGGCCAUAGCAGAAGUACUCAUGGUGUAACCUGUCAGAUUCUAACAAAUCUGCAAAUUCUGCU
rnacentral:ribozyme from 1 species